AGAGCAUAUUGUGGGCAAGCGGUCAAUAAGCCUUUGAAUCUCUUCCAAGCCGCUCCAAAAGAUUCACCAUCAUUCUGAGAGAAAUGGUCAAUCUCUCGCUUU